AACUCAUGGUGAGGACACAUACUAAACAACUCAUUAAAUCUCUCUCAAGACUAAUACAAAGUCUCACUGUCCUUUUGUGCAAAGAUGAAGAUUUUUCUUUUUAAAGCA